rnacentral:rRNA from 1 species
GAUGAACGCUGGCGGCGUGCUUAACACAUGCAAGUCGAACGGAAAGGCCCUGCUUGCAGGGUACUCGAGUGGCGAACGGGUGAGUAACACGUGGGUGACCUGCCCUGCACUUCGGGAUAAGCCUGGGAAACUGGGUCUAAUACCGGAUAGGAGCCAUUUUUAGCGUGAUGGUUGGAAAGUGUUUUGGGUGUUUGGUGUGCUCUCGGGCUAUCUCCUUGUUGGUGGGGUGAUGGCUUACCAAGGCGGCGACGGGUUGCCGGCCUGAGAGGGUGGACGGGCACAUUGGGGCCGAGGAAAGGCCCAGACUCCUACGGGAGGGAAGAGGGGGGAAUAUUGCACAAUUGGCGCCAGGCUGGUGGAGCGGCGGCGCGUUGGGGAAUACGGGCUUUGGGUUGUAAACCCUUUUCGCUAGGGACGGAGCCUAUUGUGACGGUACCUAGAGAAGAAGCACCGGCUAACUACGUG